rnacentral:tRNA from 1 species
GGGCGCAUAGCUCAGCGGUAGAGCGCUGCCCUUACAAGGCAGAUGUCGCAGGUUCGAUCCCUGCUGCGCCCA